rnacentral:rRNA from 1 species
GACGAACGCUGGCGGCAGGCCUAACACAUGCAAGUCGAGCGGAGCGGCGGACGGGUGAGUAAUGCCUAGGAAUCGGCCUGGUAGUGGGGGAUAAAGUCCGGAAACGGGCGCUAAUACCGCAUACUAUCAGAUGAGCCUAGGUCGGAUUAGCUAGUUGGUGGGGUAAAGGCCUACCAAGACGACGAUCCGUAGCGGGUCUGAGAGGAUGAUCAGUCACACUGUAACUGAGACACGGUCCAGACUCCUACGGGAGGCAGCAGUGGUGAAUAUUGGACAAUGGGCGAAAGCCUGAUCCAGCCAUGCCGCGUGUGUGAAGAAGGUCUUCGGAUUGUAAAGCACUUUAAGUUGGGAGGCGUUACCAACAGAAUAAGCACCGGCUAACUUCGUGCCAGCAGCCGCGGUAAUUC